GUAGCUGGUUCUAAUUUACAUCUUGUUAGUAACAGAGGUUGAGAAGAAGAAGAAGGUAUGAAGUUUGUAGUAAUUAUAUCCUUAGUUUCAGCUCCAAAUGCAAAGUAGCCCAAAACACCAAAUGCAGCAUAAAUGGAAGAAAUGAAUCCCAUUGAUAAACCAAGAACUUUUCGAAACCUUCUUUUAUCUUCUGUCUCAGAUUCUAAUGGUAAUGCCAUUCCCAUACCUUCAAAUGCGUAACCGAAACACCCAAACCAUAAAUCACAACAGAAUAAUCCCCAAAUGUAUUUAAAACUGGUUGUUGUUUGAGAAAUAUCAAUACAUCUUCAACCAUUACAACUCCCAUUGCUCCAAUUUGAACAAAAUCAGCAAAAAUACUCAAAGGCGCAAGAUGGGUAAGCGUUGGAAUCGAAUUUAAUCCCAAUUGAAAUGGAAAACAACUCCAAAUGUAAAGAGUUUUCGGCUUUAUUCCCAAAAUCCUCUGACUUUGAUAAUAUACAGAGACAGAAGAAGAAGAAGAAGAAUUAAACAAAAAAACUAAAGUAUUUGCAAUGAAGAUAAGAUACCCAACACAAAAUCCAGCUUGAGAAAGAACAAUCAUGGAAUCAACAGCAAAUCUACCAAUGGAACCACAAACAACAAAUCCCAAAUCACCAAAAGAAUUGAUCUUUAAACAUUCUUUUCUUGAUUCAAGUUUUCUACGAGUAUAGAUAAGAAGCAUCAUACAAUGGUAAGUAAGAAA
rnacentral:lncRNA from 1 species